rnacentral:misc_RNA from 1 species
UCCGGCUUAUCACCGGCAGUCCCACUAGAGUGCCCAACUGAAUGAUGGCAACUAAGGGCGAGGGUUGCGCUCGUUGCGGGACUUAACCCAACAUCUCACGACACGAGCUGACGACAGCCAUGCAGCACCUGUGUCCACGCCCCUUGCGGGGAGGAAUCCAUCUCUGGAGACCGUCGUGGCAUGUCAAGGGCUGGUAAGGUUCUUCGCGUUGCGUCGAAUUGAACCACAUGCUCCACCGCUUGUGCGGGCCCCCGACACCUAGUGCUCAUCGUUUACGGCGUGGACUAC